GAUGAACGCUAGCGACAGGCUUAACACAUGCAAGUCGAGGGGCAGCAUAAAAGUAGCAAUACUUUGGUGGCGACCGGCGCACGGGUGAGUAACGCGUAUGCAACCUACCUAUCAGAGGGGAGUAACCCGGCGAAAGUCGGACUAAUACCGCAUAAAACAGGGGCACCGCAUGGUGAUAUUUGUUAAAGGAAUUCGCUGAUAGAUGGGCAUGCGUUCCAUUAGGUAGUUGGUGAGGUAACGGCUCACCAAGCCGACGAUGGAUAGGGGAACUGAGAGGUUGGUCCCCCACACUGGUACUGAGACACGGACCAGACUCCUACGGGAGGCAGCAGUGAGGAAUAUUGGUCAAUGGGCGAGAGCCUGAACCAGCCAAGUCGCGUGAAGGAAGAAGGAUCUAUGGUUCGUAAACUUCUUUUGCAGGGGAAUAAAGUGCGGGACGUGUCCUGUUUUGUAUGUACCCUGAGAAUAAGGAUCGGCUAACUCCGUGCCAGCCGCCGCAGUAA
rnacentral:rRNA from 1 species